rnacentral:pre_miRNA from 1 species
UUAAAUCGAAUUUGUAUAGAGUUGGAACGUUUGCCUACGUUUGCCGCUAGGGGCGCUGUUCCAACUGCAUACAAAUUUGUGUUA